ensembl:lncRNA
AUCUCUCUCAUCAUCCAGUCACCAGGUCUGCAAGCGAUUUCUCAGAGGCACCUCUUGGGUCUUUAACUCGGCCUCAUCCCCACAACCGCCACCAAGUCCAGGCUCUCAGUGCUUCACCCAGACAUUGGACGGCCUCGGACGUGCUCCCUGCCUCCGCUCUCUCUGUCUCCGAUCACCCUCCAACCCUCCACGAGGUACAUCUUCCGCAAACACACAGCAGACCACGUUGCUUCCCUGCUCAAAACCCUCCUGUGGCUCCCUCGUGCCCCUCAUCUCCCAGCCGCCCCUCCCAGGACCUGAGCAUCCAGCUGGACUGGCAGCUGGGCACCUGCUCCUUCCUGCUUCCAGCUCCUUCUAACUUAGCUACUUCCUCCGACACUGCUCUCUCUCCCCCUACUCCUUUUUAAACCAUUUCAGCAAUUUCUAUGUGUGCAGUCCAGGGACACACAGUACACUCCACCCCUCUAGACCCACUGUACGUGCUUUCUGUCUCUGAGAUCCCCCCUGUGCCCUUUGUGUUCCCACCUCGGCUGCCAGUUUCGUCGUGACUGACUCAUCUCAGGUGCUGGUCUGUUCAGGUCAGCCCUUUCCACCGCUGAAUCCCUCGGUGGUCAGCCGUGUGCCUGGGACCCAGCAGACAACUUGUAUCUGUGAAUUAAGUCACCCCUUUCUGCCCAUUCUUCUCCCCACAGGACGGUGUCAGGACUCAGUUGGAAGCCCUGAGGGUGGAGGGAGAAGAGAUUGAGGACAUAAAGAGUCGGGAAGACCAGAAGUUCCAAAUGCUUCUGACUCACAUCGAAAUCAGGAAGCAGCAGGUAGAAGCCGUGUUUGAGAAGUUGCAGCAGGAGCUGAGGGAACAGCGGGGCCUCCUGCUGGCCAGGCUAAGGGGGCUGGAGGUGCAGGUCUGCGAGGAGCGAGAAGACUACAUCUCCAAGUUCUCCGAGGAGGUUGCCAGGCACAGAGCCGAGGCCGAGGAGCUGGAGAAAUGCCAGCAGCUGGCAAGUGUCCUGCUACAUGUGGGGGGCUGUCCACAACCUGCCUCGUGGGAUGGGAGAGGGAUUGCUCAGGCAGGGACAGCAGCUGAGGUUGGGAGAUGCUGCAGAGGGGCAGGAGAGGGGAGCAGAGGUCUUCUGCUAGGAGGGACUGGUAGCUGUCGGGUUUCUUCAGCCCAGAGACGCUACAGAGGGGCAGACCCCGAAAGGCUGGAUGACUUGACCCUGCACUGCGGUCGUGUCAAAGACUCUGGAAUCAGCCGUUCUUGGGUUUGAGGGCAGGCUCUUCCAGCCGUGCGGCCUCAGCGAGCCUUGCGCCCGCCUAAACAUGGGGAUAACAGUAGCACCUCCUUCCUAGAGCUCCUGCAAAGAUGAUAAACAAUCCGUACCAAAUGCCUCGUAUGGUCCUGGUUCACAGAGAGAACUCCAUAGUGGCGUCUGUUUCGAUGGUCCUCACGUUAUCCUGCGUCACACCAGGUUCGGCUGGUAACUCAAGGCCUGGACCCUGUUCUCCACCAUCUCUCAAUCACUGGAGGCAGAACACGCUCCCAAGAUGAGGCUAAGACAAAGAAGUGAGCUUGAAUGAUCUGGCCAGAGUCCCACAUUAGUAGGGAGGCAUGGUGCAAAAGAAUAGUCUGAUGGGUAGGUCAUUAGACACACAGAACUUUCUUCAAGAGGAGAACUUUGAGCCAAUGCGUUAAGAAGAACGGAUGUGCAGCCUCUCCGGCGGGAAGGACCUGAGGACACUGAGUGCAUGUUCUUUUUCUUUUGUAGGAUGUGGGCGUCAGCCAGCGCAGGUAGGGCCUCCUCCCAGUCCUGCUUCCUUCACACACGGGGUGUAUACUUUGUAUCCGUCACCUGUGUCCCCUGGGCACGGACAUUGGGGGGCACUCUGACCUCGCCCUCCAGCGGGCUGCGCGGAAAUGCAAAACUGCUUUGGCAGACACACACACAGGCAGCCUCCACUCAAAGGUUUGUGUUCCAAGAGUUCGUUUUUAAAACUGAUUGUUUGGUAUCAGGGACACGUUUUCCCCUUAAAAGUGAAGAAACAAACAACAAUCAGGUUUUUAGGCUGAUCCAGGAACAUCCAUUUAAUUCCCGAAAUUAUUAGUGCUCGAGGCAGCGUUAACACCAAAACGUAAUUCUGAGGGGAACAUCUUCUAUUAAGUACAGUCAGCACG